GGGUCAAACUGUUUUAACAUAUUGUAUACACUUUGUGGCAUGGUAGUGCUGGUCGAUGAGUAAUAGAAGAUUUUUACAUAUUUUUUAAACUUACAUAUAAUGUGGUGAUGGGGGAACGUCGGUCCGUGAUAAAUUUAACCUCACAGUACAUGGAUGACAACAUUAAAAUAGUGCGAGCGGUACCAUAUGCCUUACUUGGCACUCUUGGCCUAUACUGCACAUACCGUUAUAGAAUUUUCUCCCAUUUCAAAACAAUUAAAAGUAUACCUGAGGAAUUCUACACAAAACGAGUGUCUUUAAGAGGAAAACUAACAAACGUAACGCGGGAGUGCACACUUGAAGUGGAGCAUAUACCCAUUGUAAAGCUUCCUUUUUCGAAAUAUUUAAAAAAUAAAGAAGAUGCAUAACAGAUAUUGAGGCUGAAACACUUCCAAUCAAAUUUCUUGGUAUUGAUUUUCCAAGUGAUACCAGUAAUCUUGCAUACACCAAGCUUCUGCAUUUAAAGCAGUCACGAAGACCUAUUUGGUUUCAACUGUGGUACAGAGAAUAUGAACAAGUUGUGGAUCCAAAAGAUGCCACACCCAUAUAUUUACAUUGUCUUGUGUAUGAGCCAUAUUGGUUUUUAGGCAGUUACUUGAACACCACUUUCGUCAAACUUGGACAUGCAAAAUUUACAAGUUUGCCAGAUCUGGUCAGUACUGGUAAACAAUCCGAGAAGCUAGCCAACUCACUAGUCAAGGCUGAAAACUUUGCAAAAAGAAAAAGGCGCGGAAUAUGGUACGUCCCAUCAAAGCCUGAACUGAUUUAUGAAGACAUGAAAACCAAAGCAAAUUCUGUAAGAUCUACUGGAGCUGGGGCAUGGAAUGGACUUAAAAAAUUAAAGGAAAAGUUCUGGAAAUCGAAGCAGUAGUUUUCACAAAUGUUGUUAUGAUUUGCAUUGUGCUAAUUUAUGCAUGAAAAUUAUGUUUUGAUUUAUUAAAUGAUGUUCACCUGG